rnacentral:lncRNA from 1 species
AGGUUGCUGAUUCCGAAACUGCAUUUCUCUGAACAGCUUUAGUGCCUCAAGAUGGUCCUCAUUCUGGGAAUAGCCUGAAAGUAUAGCAUUCCAUGAAAUCAAGCUUGGGCUAGCCAUGCUAUCAAAUAUCAAACUGCCAGUUUCAAUAUCCCCCGAUUUAACACAAGUCAGCGAGCAUAUUUAUGUAAGUAACAUCAUCUGGUUCAACACCAACACCUCGCAUCCUUUUCAUAAGGCCAUUUUCAACAUCCCCUGAUUUAACACAAGCCGCUAGCAUAUUUAUGUAAGUAACAUCAUCUGGUUCAACACCAACACCCCGCAUCCUUUUCAUGUACUCCAUCGCACUUUCUU